GAUGAACGCUGGCGGCGUGCCUAAUACAUGCAAGUCGAGCGAACGGACGAGAAGCUUGCUUCUCUGAUGUUAGCGGCGGACGGGUGAGUAACACGUGGAUAACCUACCUAUAAGACUGGGAUAACUUCGGGAAACCGGAGCUAAUACCGUAUAAUAUUUUGAACCGCAUGGUUCAAAAGUGAAAGACGGUCUUGCUGUCACUUAUAGAUGGAUCCGCGCUGCAUUAGCUAGUUGGUAAGGUAACGGCUUACCAAGGCAACGAUGCAUAGCCGACCUGAGAGGGUGAUCGGCCACACUGGAACUGAGACACGGUCCAGACUCCUACGGGAGGCAGCAGUAGGGAAUCUUCCGCAAUGGGCGAAAGCCUGCCGGAGCAACGCCGCGUGAGUGAUGAAGGUCUUCGGAUCGUAAAACUCUGUUAUUAGGGAAGAACAUAUGUGUAAGUAACUGUGCACAUCUUGACGGUACCUAAUCAGAAAGCCACGGCUAACUACGUG
rnacentral:rRNA from 1 species